UACAAAAUCAAAAUAUCUAAUUCAAUUUCCAUUCCACUUCUCCAAACAAGGUUUCCAUUUUCCAGCUCCAGUCCAGUCUCUCCCAACCCAAUGCCUUAUUCCUAAAAUCUCAUGAAAUCGCCGACCAAAAACGACCGAGUGAAGACUGGCGACCAACUGAGAGGAACAAAUGAGAUUGUGCGACGAUAAUCAAGAUGACGGACGAUCGACGGACGACGAGGAUUUACGAAAUCUGACCGACGGAGACCAAACAACGAAUUGAGAGGACGACCGACCAACCGACGACGAUGAGAGACAAUAUCGGACUGGGAAUCGAACAGAAAUGGGUUUCUGCAGGUUUGUUCCAUCAAAGUCAAUCCUAUUAUUUGGGUUGGUGGUUUUAUUGUUCUCUUACCUUUUUGUAAACCCUGGUCGCUAAUAUGGACUAUGGCCAAGGUUUGCUCCUAAUUUUUUUUUUUUUAAAUUAUGAUGUAAAGGAACCUUUGAAUUCUUGACAUGAUAUAGAGGCAAUGUUUUAUGUAUAAUUACUGGUAUUUUGAUUGGUUAAUCAAUCAUUUCUUAUAUUUUAAGGAUGCUUUAUCAUAUGAAUAAUAGCUAUUAAGACGUA